UGCUAAUUGAUCCCUGGGAGACCACACUGAGGUUGCGUGGCUCGUAGGCCGAAAGCUAAACACUUUAGCAGCCCGGGAGUGCCUGCGUGGUUUCUUUGUGCUGACGGUGCAAAAAUGGAAUAAUGGCAAGAGCUCCCGGUGAUCUUUCAAGACUGUCGUACGGGAACAAUCAGAUUCAAAUGGAAACAUUGAGGCAUCUGGAGGGAUAUUCUACUAGCAGUUAUGAGUCCAUAAGUACUUGAAUAAAACAGGACAAGUGUCCGUUGACUACUGUGAUGUAAUCAAAGCCUCAAGAGCUUGUUGACUGACUAAUGGCUUCAGCUUGAGCACCUGGAACGUGCAAGAUUGAGAAGCGCUUAUUUACCAUAUGCCAAAGGAUAUUGUGGAAUCAUUGGAUCUGCAACAUGAGACAAGUGGUGACUGGAAAAGAACUAAGAAAUCUAAAAUGAAGCUUUUUAUAUCAUUCCGGAAAUGCAAAGACAUAAAAUUUUUAUGCAUUUAGACAAACGCUUUGGACUGUUCUUAAUUACUGAAUUUCACAUAAAGAAUAUUGUUUAUGAGUUUGAAAUUAUGAGAGAAUUUAUAAAUUUGUGAAUGUUACAUGUUGA